rnacentral:rRNA from 1 species
GAUGAACGCUGGCGGCGUGCUUAACACAUGCAAGUCGAACGGAAAGGCUCCUGGUUGCAGGGGUACUCGAGUGGCGAACGGGGGAGUAACACGUGGGGGAACUGCCCUUCACUUCGGGAUAAGCCUGGGAAACUGGGGCUAAAACCGGGUAGGACAAUGGUUUGGAUGCCGUUGUAGAGAGUUUGUCGGUGUGGGAUGAGCUCGCGGACGAUGAGCUUGUUGGUGGGGUAAUGGCCUACCAAGGCGUCGACGGGUAGCCGGCCUGAGAGGGUGUACGGCCACAUUGGGACUGAGAUACGGACCAGACUCCUACGGGAGGCAGCAGUGGGGAAUAUUGCACAAUGGGCGCAAGCCUGAUGCAGCGACGCCGCGUGGGGGAUGACGGCCUUCGGGUUGUAAACUCCUUUCGCUAGGGACGAAGAGCAAGUGACGGUACCUGGAGAAGAAGCACCGGCUAACUACGUG